rnacentral:tRNA from 1 species
GCCGAGGUGGCGGAGUGGACAAUCGCGGCAGACUGUAAAUCUGUUGCCGUACGGCUACGUAGGUUCGAAUCCUACCCUCGGCA